GCACAAUAUUCAUUCAGACUGACAGAGGGUGUGUGUGUGUGUAUGCGCGUGCGCCCUGGUUUGCACUUCCUAUUGCUCCUCACUCUCUCUCCAGUCAGCCUGCAGUUUCAAGCAGCAGGAAGAAGACACCCGAGAGGAAGAAAGUAAAGGAAAGAGUAUUUAGGCGACAGACAAAGGAGGCGAGGGAGAACGACAGGGAGCAGAGGAGUAACACGGCUCAGGGGGAAAGGGGAGAGGUGAGAAGCACAAAUCCAAAGAGAACAAGGAUGAAGACUGCUGCUCGGUCACCAGAACGAUGAAGAGCAGAAGCUUCGGCCUCCAGACUGAGACCUGAUGAUCCUUCGGUUUCGGUCUUCUUCGUGUGUCUGGAGUUUCAGAAUGAAAACCCAAAAGUUAUUCUCACACCAUGGUCUCGGGGAAGUGGUGUCUAUCUCCAGCUGUCUGUUUCCACGAGGUGAAGCUGCACCUGGACAGAUCCUGCUGGUCAUGGCCGUCUGAUCCUCGUAGCGCUGGGACAUGACGGCUGGCUCUUUGAGUUGCUCGGAUCUUGGGGAACAUUCAACGCUGUCGGUGAGUUUGUAACUCAGCCAAAACCAUCGAGUGUUGAGUGUACCCGGACAUCUGAGUUCACAUCACUACCGGAGAGCAGCUGGAGCCUGGACUUGAGGACGGUCAGCUCACAAUGCUGGCUGCAUUCCAUUUAGCUGUAGCAGCUCUCUGGUCCAUCAUCAUCAUCAUCACCUUCGUUUGUAACGUGCUUUCCAUCAGCCAGAAGGUGAACCAAAGUGCUGUACAUGCAUAAAAGAUUUUACAACAUCACUGACACAUGCAAGGGCCAACCAAAUAUCCAGAGACAAAUAAAAGCAGCAAUUAAAAAAAAAAAACUAAAUAAAACUGGAAGAGCAAAAUUAUCUAAAAAUAAGGCUAAGUCACGUGCAGAGGGAGCGCCACAGCAUGACAGCGAGUCUUCAUCCAACUCUUAAAAACCGGCAGUGAGGACGCUUGUCUGACCACGAGUGGAAGGAACGUCAUUCCACAGCUUAAGCCUGAUUCAUGCUUCUGCGUCUGCGUCAGUGCGGGGACACGCAACGCCAUUAUCCGUCCUUGCGGGCCUGCUGGAGAGCUCCGCAAGGACGGACGGAGUCGAGCUCUCUUUUCUAAACAUCCGCCAGUCGAGACGGACAACGCAAGCUUGUGAUUGGUCAGGACGCCGCUGUUGUUCACAGCGCCGCCAUUGCGCCCUCAAAAACAUAAAGAGAGCCGAGGAUAACUAGCGGCAGACACGGAGAAGCUUGAAGAAAACCUCGUGAAAAAACUCUCAAAAUAUGAACGUUUAAUUCUCCCGUGACUGGAGGAGUGAAAAGAUGUGCAGCAAGCGUUUUAUUUGUGGACAGAAAUGACAGGAAACGUGGGUUUAGAGGUGGCGAGCGCAUGAAGAGGUGGAGGAGGAUGAGAGACAAAUAUGUUCGUGUUAAAAGUCUCUUAUAUACACAAAAACACAAUAUAAACACACCAUCUUGGACCGAUACAUGACAGGAUACCACAGAACAGCGCUACGCCCUCUGCUGUCCUGCCGGGCAAUUGCUGUGCAACACUCUCCAGGAGACGGAGAAGUAUGAGAGCAAAACGCUUCCGUCAGUCCGUGCGUGUCUGUCCCUUUUGGAGCUGACGGAAAAGCAUAAACCAGGCUUUAGGGGCCUGAACUGAGAGAGCCCCGCCUCCUCUAGUCAAGCAUUGCAAGCGUGGUAUGACUAGUAAGUCUUGCUGUGUUGACCUAAGUGCACGUGAUGGGUUGUGUUGGGUGAGUAGCUCAGACAGGUCGCUCGGGGCACAGCCCUGCAGAGACUUUAAAACAACCUGACUGAAAGGAACUGGAAGCCAGUGCAGAUGGCCGGGCCAAGACAGGCGUGAUACCUUCCUGCUUUCUGGUGCCGGUCAGGAAUCUAGCUGCAGCAUUUUGUGCAAGCUGGAGCCGAGCAAAGGCAGCCUUGCUAACUCCUGAGUAAAGGGAGUAGCAGUGGUCUAGGCAGGAAGCAAUAAAGGCAUGGACUACGGUCUCCAGACACCCUCCAGGUGAGCCCACAGCGCUAGCGACUUGAUCCUGGAUAGGUGGCGAAGAUGGAAACAGCAAGAACUCACCACUCAUCAGUAUGAGUCUCUAGCUUUAGUGAUGCAUCCCACUUCACACCCGAUCAGUUCACUGAUACUCAUGAGCCUUUGUUAGUCAUGUUAGUACUUUAUACCACGUUAGUAAUGCUACUGCUGUAUGGGAAUUAAUAAUAUUAAUUAUUAUUAAAAUAAUAAUAAAUCAUUGGGACACUUAAAGGCCCUUUUAUACUUUUUAGUUUUUAAAACAAUCAGUCACUGAGUUUUUCAUGCAGGCCGAACAUGAAAAUAGUCUCCUACACCUAUCUGCUGCAUCAGCUUCUGAUAGAAAACAGGCGGUGAAACUCUAGGAUUAGAAAAACCCGACAGAUCUACGUCUGUGACAGAUCAUCUGCUGCUGUGGCCCCCAGACUCUGGACCCCUCUCCCCGUGAGCCUGAGAUCAGUGGACUCAGUGGUCUCCUUUAAGAAGCAGCUGAAGACUCACCUUCCAUUUUUGGUUCUUUUUCAAACACAGAUAAGGUUUUUCUUUACCUUGCUGACGGUUUUGCCGCAAACGAAAGCGUCAGCAAGGUAAAGAAAAACCUUAUCUGUGUUUGAAAAAGAACCAAAAAUGGAAUUUGAAGACAAACACAGCAAGAACGUACAAAAGAUGUUUGAAGACUCACCUGUUCAGGCUUUGGUGUGACCUUCAUCACCACCCUCUCCUCGUUCUGAUCAAAUCAAAUUCACUUUAUUUAUCCAAUUAGGAACUUCGAUUGCAGAUAGUGUCAGCAUAGUCCAUAAAAACAGCAUCAAAACACACAUACACACACCAUCUAUUUAAAAGAGUACUCACACCUACACGCACGUAAUUAAAAGGAAUUUAAAAUGAAAUAAUAAAAUAAUAAAAGAUUUCCAGUUCAAUCUGGAUUCACCGUUAUGUGGUUACAGUCAGUUUUGCUGUGGCGUUCUGCUCUUUCUACAUAUUCCGCUUUUCUCUGAAUCAACCGAUUUCCCUCUUUCCUAUUCAUUUUCCUUCUCCCUUUCCUUACAUUUUUAAUCGCAAUGAAAUAUUUUUGUCAUUUUAAACCUAUUUUUUAAUCAUUUUAAAAAUAUUUUUAAGAUUAAAAUAUUUUGUUUUUUGGAGCGCCUCGUGAUUUUUAUCUUGAGAGUCGUUUCUUUCUUUCUUUUUCUUUCUUUCUUUCUUUCUUUCUUUCUUUCUUUCUUUCUUUCUUUCUUUCUUUCUUUCUUUCUUUCUUUCUUUCUUUCUUUCUUUCUUUCUUUCUUUCUUUCUAUCACACUGUCACACUGUCACUUAACAUUCAUUGACUCACCCAUCUUGAGUCACGAGGGGGAAGACUGUUGUUGGUUUAUUGCCCAGGAAACAGCAGAGAACAUCCCAGCUAGUAGAAGCUAACCAUUAGCAUUAGCAACCCACCACACAGCAGAACUCCUCCAGUUUUGUGUUAUUUGUGGAGAUAAACAUCAACGUUGCAGAGCAAACAGAGUCAGUGGUGGAGUUGUGUUGCUGUUAACCAAUCAGAGGAGAGAUGUCAAAAUACCGGGAAAUAAGAGACCAGAUCCUGCCGUCUGAAGCUACUUUCUCCUCCGGCUGAAUUCUCCGUGCUAAAACAGGCACACUGGAGGUUUUUCCCCCCAGAGUAUGACUUACAAGGCAUUAAUUCCUACGAGAGACAACCGUAAAUGUAAUAAAUAUUUGAGUGAACUUUUUGUUUUUAAAUUAGACAUUAAACAAAGGAAAUGUUGAGCGGGUUUCUUCUGCUGCUGCCUUGGCCUCCAGUUUCCUGGUCUGCUCUGGAGCAUCAUGACAUAAUUUCAGAUGAAACAUCUGGGCUUCGGGUCAAAUCUCAGUAUUGUUUCAUGGUGGUGCCAGUUUCACAGCUUCACUGUAACUUGAAGACUUCCACAACAGGUCAAGUGCCUUGCUUUCCCGCAGAUGUCUUCUCACAGGGACCAAACCUCUGCAUGGACACGUUCUGUCCCAGUGCAGGAUUCUGGUUCACAUUCAUCGCUGUCGGUGGGUUGGUGAUGGUGUCAGCUCGCCGGUCGGUGAAUGUCAGCCGUGUCCGUGCAUGGCUGCCUCUUCUGCAUCUUGGAUUUUCUUGAUUUCAGCAGUUAGCAUUUGCACAGGUAAGGCGCUUGAGCCAUGAUCAAGUGGUGUUGGACCCAAAGUACAGGUGAGGUGCAGGAGACAGACAGGUGACUCCAAAAGAAUGAAUAAAAACUAGUUUCGGUCCAGAUUAAGGACAUGA